rnacentral:rRNA from 1 species
UGCCCUAGUAACGGCGAGUGAAGCGGCAACAGCUCAAAUUUGAAAUCUGGCUCUCGGGCCCGAGUUGUAAUUUGUAGAGGAUACUUUUGAUGCGGUGCCUUCCGAGUUCCCUGGAACGGGACGCCAUAGAGGGUGAGAGCCCCGUCUGGUUGGAUGCCAAAUCUCUGUAAAGUUCCUUCGACGAGUCGAGUAGUUUGGGAAUGCUGCUCUAAAUGGGAGGUAUAUGUCUUCUAAAGCUAAAUACCGGCCAGAGACCGAUAGCGCACAAGUAGAGUGAUCGAAAGAUGAAAAGCACUUUGAAAAGAGAGUUAAAAAGUACGUGAAAUUGUUGAAAGGGAAGCGUUUAUGACCAGACUUGGGCUUGGUUAAUCAUCUGGGGUUCUCCCCAGUGCACUUUUCCAGUCCAGGCCAGCAUCAGUUUUCCCCGGGGGAUAAAGACUUCGGGAAUGUGGCUCUCUUCGGGGAGUGUUAUAGCCCGUUGUGUAAUACCCUGGGGGGGACUGAGGUUCGCGCAUCUGCAAGGAUGCUGGCGUAAUGGUCAUCAACGACCCGUCUUGAAACACGGACCAAGGAGUCGUCUUCGUAUGCGAGUGUUCGGGUGUCAAACCCCUACGCGUAAUGAAAGUGAACGCAGGUGAGAGCUUCGGCGCAUCAUCGACCGAUCCUGAUGUUCUCGGAUGGAUUUGAGUAAGAGCAUACGGGGCCGGACCCGAAAGAAGGUGAACUAUGCCUGUAUAGGGUGAAGCCAGAGGAAACUCUGGUGGAGGCUCGCAGCGGUUCUGACGUGCAAAUCGAUCGUCAAAUAUGGGCAUGGGGGCGAAAGACUAAUCG